AGUCUUAUAUUCAUUUCAUGAUAAUAGAAUGCAAUUCUAUAGGAGUAGAUAUCACUACUGAGACUU
rnacentral:tRNA from 1 species